CACGUAGGGGGCGAGCGUUGUCCGGAUUUAUUGGGCGUAAAGAGCUCGUAGGCGGCUCAGUAAGUCGGGUGUGAAAACUCCAGGCUCAACCUGGAGACGCCACCCGAUACUGCUGUGGCUAGAGUCCGGUAGGGGAGCAUGGAAUUCCUGGUGUAGCGGUGAAAUGCGCAGAUAUCAGGAAGAACACCCGUGGCUAAGGCGGCUCUCUAGUACGGUACUGACGCUGAGACGCGAAAGCGUGGGGAGCGAACAGG
rnacentral:rRNA from 1 species